rnacentral:piRNA from 1 species
UCACAGCUAACGUGCUUGGUGUCACAAGU